GGCUAAUACCGGAUAAUAUAUUGAACCGCAUGGUUCAAUAGUGAAAGACGGUUUUGCUGUCACUUAUAGAUGGGUCCGCGCUGCAUUAGCUAGUUGGUAAGGUAACGGCUUACCAAGGCAACGAUGCAUAGCCGACCUGAGAGGGUGAUCGGCCACACUGGAACUGAGACACGGUCCAG
rnacentral:rRNA from 1 species